rnacentral:rRNA from 1 species
AUGAACGCUGGCGGCGUGCCUCAUACAUGCAAGUCGAGCGAACAGACGAGGAGCUUGCUCCUUUGACGUUAGCGGCGGACGGGUGAGUAACACGUAGGUAACCUACCUAUAAGACUGGGAUAACUUCGGGAAACCGGAGCUAAUACCGGAUAAUAUUUCGAACCGCAUGGUUCGAUAGUGAAAGAUGGCUUUGCUAUCACUUAUAGAUGGACCUGCGCCGUAUUAGCUAGUUGGUAAGGUAACGGCUUACCAAGGCAACGAUACGUAGCCGACCUGAGAGGGUGAUCGGCCACACUGGAACUGAGACACGGUCCAGACUCCUACGGGAGGCAGCAGUAGGGAAUCUUCCGCAAUGGGCGAAAGCCUGACGGAGCAACGCCGCGUGAGUGAUGAAGGUCUUCGGAUCGUAAAACUCUGUUAUUAGGGAAGAACAAACGUGUAAGUAACUGUGCACGUCCUGACGGUACCUAAUCAGAAAGCCACGGCUAACUACGUG